rnacentral:rRNA from 1 species
AUUGAACGCUGGCGGCAGGCCUAACACAUGCAAGUCGAGCGAGCGGCGGACGGGUGAGUAAUGUCUGGGGAACUGCCUGAUGGAGGGGGAUACCUACUGGAAACGGUAGCUAAUACCGCAUACCAUCAGAUGUGCCCAGAUGGGGUUAGCUAGUAGGUGGGGUAACGGCUCACCUAGGCGACGAUCCCUAGCUGGUCUGAGAGGAUGACCAGCCACACUGGGACUGCGACACGGUCCAGACUCCUACGGGAGGCAGCAGUGGGGAAUAUUGCACAAGGGGCGCAAGCCUGAUGCAGCCAGGCCGCGUGUGUGAAGAAGGCCUUAGGGUUGUAAAGCACUUUCAGCGGGGAGGCGUUACCCGCAGAAGAAGCACCGGCUAACUCCGUGCCAGCAGCCGCGGUAAUUC